GCGACACUAGCUCAGUUGGUAGAGCGCAACCUUGCCGAGGUUGAGGUCACGAGUUCGUACCUCGUGUGUCGCUCCA
rnacentral:tRNA from 1 species